ACGCACGCUGGCGGCGUGCUUAACACAUGCCAGUCGUACGGUAAGGCCCUUUCGGGGGUACACGAGUGGCGAACGGGUGAGUAACACGUGAGUAACCUGCCCACAACUUUGGGAUAACGCUAGGAAACUGGUGCUAAUACUGGAUAUGUGCUCCUGCUGCAUGGUGGGGGUUGGAAAGCUCCGGCGGUUGUGGAUGGACUCGCGGCCUAUCAGCUUGUUGGUGGGGUAGUGGCCUACCAAGGCGGCGACGGGUAGCCGGCCUGAGAGGGUGACCGGCCACAUUGGGACUGAGAUACGGCCCAGACUCCUACGGGAGGCAGCAGUGGGGAAUAUUGCACAAUGGGCGCAAGCCUGAUGCAGCAACGCCGCGUGCGGGAUGACGGCCUUCGGGUUGUAAACCGCUUUCAGCAGGGACGAAGCUUUUUGUGACGGUACCUGCAGAAGAAGCACCGGCUAACUACGUG
rnacentral:rRNA from 1 species